ensembl:lncRNA
GGAAAAUAGAGACCAUGAAAGUAGCUACCAUUCUCUAGGUAGGGCAGGGGGUGUUCGCUCCAUCAGAGAGAAAAGUCCCCCUCCUCCUCACCGGCAUUUUGAAACAGGCAGACCGCUGCCCAGCCAUCACAGUCCAGAACUGAAAGCUGCCAUUCCCUUUCGAAACCCUGACCUUGGUGUGCCCUCCCAAAGGCGGAGCUUGGAGAAGCAACAAUGUGGUCCACCUCAGGACAAUUCCCUGCCUUCUGGAUGCUCAGAAUCCAAUUACAGCCAAACGUUUGACUAUCAUGGACAGAGAAGCUUAAGCCCCACACCUUUUAAGCAAGCUGAAUCCCUAAGUUCCUCCCUGCACCGGAGCUAUGAUGGUUCCUACUCCAGAGGCCCUGGUCCAUCUUACUCUUCCUCCCAUCAGCAGAGAGGACAUUUCAGUGCUUCUCAGAGACAAGGUUCUUCUUUCUCUCGCUCCUCUUCUCCAUGCCACACGCCCUCCCCUUUCAAACAAGCCGAGUUGUCGAGCUCAUCUCACAGACGGAGUUUUGACUUUUCACAGGGUUCCAGUCAAGGGUCCAGACCCCCAACACAAAACUCAUAUGGACAAGUUCUGGAUUCAGGAGGCUUCCAAAAGAAUCUUAGAACAAUUUCUCACACAAUUGGCUCCUAUUCACAAUCAGACUCCUUUGGAACUCUGAAAAGCUCCCUACGCCAAACAAGAGUGAAUGUGACCAGUGCUCGUGGGCUUAGCAGCCAUGACUCCUCCCCCUCAAGGAGAGGCUAUGAAAUGCCUAACCAGUCCCUCCUGUGCAAAACUGAUACAAAAACUUCUACAAAUAGUUAUUCUUGGGGCAGUCGUGGCUCCUCCCCCUCAAGAAGAGGAUAUGAAAGACCAAGCCAGUCUUUUUUGUGUAAAACUGACACAAAAACCUUAACUAAUAGUUAUGCUCUUAACAAGCAUUGUACCUCCCCUUCGAGGAGGGGAUAUGACAGUCCAAGCCAAUCACUGCUUCGCAAAUCUGAGACAGUUAGUUCCACCAGUACAAGAGCACACGAAGGUUGUAGUUCUUCACCCUCCAGGAGCAGUAAUGGAGCCCCAAAUCAAUCCUUUUUGCAAAACAAACACUCAAACAAAUUUUCUGGUGGCUGUGACCUUCGUAGCCCCUCCCCAACCAGGACAGUGUACAACACACCCACUCAGUCAUCAUUGUGUAGAGCUGAGUCAAAACCCCCAAGCAGUGCUCGAAGUCACGACAGCAGGAGUCCCUCUCCCUCUAGGAGAGGCUAUGGUGCACCAACUCCAUCCUCUCUUGUGAAAAGUACAGGGUAUAACAGUCGUAGUUCUUCUCCUUCCAGGAGAGCUCAUGAUAAAACCCAGUCUUUCCAGAGGAAAGCUUCAGACAGUACACCCACAUCAGACUCAGUGCUCUACAAACUAAACAAGACUUCUCAGUCAUCCCUCUCUCCAAGCUCCUGGCGGAGCUCCUCUCACUCUCUCAUUAGCCCUGUCCUUUCUCGUAGUCCUUCCCCAUCCAGGAGGCUGACCCAGGAUCACCAUCUCAACGUGUGUUCACGAAAAUCCAGGACUGUCUCCUCAGAAGCCGCCAUCAACAGGAGCAGCAGCAUUCGGCAGCGCCCAGAGGUCCGGAGCCCCUCCCCAGAGUUCCAGCCAUCCUCUCAUCAGAACCGGAGUCCAUCCCCUCAGAUGCAAAGGCACACCUCCUCCCAGAGUUCUCUGGAGUCUGAAUCUAGCCAUGUCUCUGGAGUCUCAGUACUGAACAAAGAGGAGUAUGCCCUAAUGGCUGACCUUCCAAAGGUCAAGACCAUAUAUGAGAGGGAGGGACCAGAGCAUUUUGUAAAAACUCAGAGACAAACCCCAGGGAAGGAGGAGCUCUACAAACCAGCAAGUCACUCCCAAGUAAAGGACAUCUACAGGGAGUGGCAUGGAUUAGGUGACCGAGGGAGAGGCAGUGGCAGAGAGAAUGACCAGCAGCAGCAUCAGGCAAGAGACACAGGACAGCUUUCUCGAACCCAGUCGACCAGCUCUCUCCAUACACAGAGGUCAAGCAGUCCAUCUCGAGAAGAAGCCAACCCCUGGAAGGGCCAGCUUAGAUCUCGACCUAGACACACACAGGCAC